GCCAUCAUAGCCAGCUCAGUGGUUAGAGCACUGGUCUCGUAAACCAGGGGUCGUGAGUUCGACUCUCACUGAUGGCU
rnacentral:tRNA from 1 species